GACAGAGGGUGCAAACGUUGUUCGGAAUUACUGGGCAUAAAGCGCGUGUAGGCGGCCCUGCAAGUCGGAUGUGAAAUCCCACGGCUCAACCGUGGAAGUGCAUUCGAAACUGCAGGGCUAGAGUCCUGGAGAGGAAGGUGGAAUGCUUGGUGUAGAGGUGAAAUUCGUAGAUAUCAAGCGGAACACCGGUGGCGAAGGCGGCCUUCUGGACAGUGACUGACGCUGAGACGCGAAAGCGUGGGGAGCAAACAGG
rnacentral:rRNA from 1 species